CUUUUAACUAUCCUAGAUGGGAGCUUUUAUUAGAACUACAGAAAAUUUCGUGCAGAUUGUUUUUGCAGGAGCUUUGGAAGAACCUUAUUCAGUAGGAUUACCAUUGGAAGUCGAAGCAGUGUUUCAGCUCUUUCCAGAAGUUUUUGCAAGUUCCCGUCAUUAGCCAAAUCAUUGUAUUUGAAAGAUCAAGUUCUGUUAAGAUGAAGAUGUCCAUUACUUGAAGAUUGAAUAUCUUUCUAUUAACUUGCACAUUCGUUUCAUCUUUUUUGAGAUUGCAAGCCAUCAUUAAUACUGUUAAGGCUUUUUUCAUGGUAUUUCAGUUGAUUCCACCAAUAAAACAAGAUACAUGUAUAUGAGGUAGAGCCUUUGCUUAACAUUUCAAAAGUCCUGUAUUCAAACCUCAAGAUGUAGAGAAGGCAAUGAAAUCAUGACAAUUAAAAAAACUGUUUAUUAUUGAAUUUAUUGUAU